rnacentral:lncRNA from 1 species
GGUUGUAUUCUUUUGAGAUUUAGGGUUUUCAGCUAAAUUCGGUGCCACACGGCCUGGCCACACGGUCGUGUGGCUGAUUUAGGGAAAUUAGUCGACUUUCACACGACCGUGUCCCCUGGGCACACAGGCGUGUGUGUUUGGGAAUUAGUGAUUUACUGUUUUGGUGCCACACAGCCUAGCCACACGGUCGUAUGGCUAAUUUGGG